AUGAAUCAUGGAGCAUGGAUUAUUUACUAUAUUUCUACAUUUAUCAGGACCUUGUUGUCAAGAAGGAAGAGAAAGCCUUAUCCAACCUGGAAACAAAAACACGGGUCACUUGCAAGGAAGGGUCCACUGCAGAGAGGCGGGCACAGGAGAAUUUCCUGCGGUAGUCACACGUAUGGACUGGAUUCAGGUCAUGGGCUUCCAAUUUCCAGGAUUCAUGUGCCUACUUCUGUUCCUCACUUCUGCCUGCCCCAGAAUCUUCGAGUUAAAUCCAUUCCUCUCAUUUCUCACACCGUACAGCCAAGUCACAUCAUCUUUGCUCCCAUAUCACACACAAGGACUCAGAUCUCACUUCUUCCGGGAAUGAAGGCAAGAUAUUGGCUUCCUACAAAAUUGUGCCAACAUACCUUUCUACUAGCAGUAGAUGGAGUGCCCCUCUGCUCAUACAGCUGGCUACAUUUGGUAUUAUUACAUCCACUGUUAACAUUACUAGGCUGAUCAGUAGAAAGUGGUAAGUCUUCUAUUUGCUGUUUCUUGACUAUUAGUGAAUUUGAACAACUUUUUAUAAAUUUAGCAACCUAUGUUUUGUAAAAUACCUCUUUAUGACUUUUGUCCACUUUUCUACUAGAAUGUAUUUUUUCAUUGGUAAGCUUUUUAUACAUCAAGGUUUUGAAUUUUUUCUCUUCUUGGGCUAACUUCAUUUUACUUUAAGAACUUUAUUUUCAAAUAUUUAUGGAUUUACAGGAAGUUGCAAAAUACGCUACAGAGUUCCUGUGUACCAAGUUUCCUGCACUGGUAACAUCUUUACAUUAAUUGUAAUGUAUUAUCAAAACCAAGAAACUGCAAUUGGUAAAAAAUGGUUAAAUGGGUUACAGACCUAUAUGAAUUUCUUCAUUUAUUUUUAAAUCUAUUAAUGGAGAUCUUAAACACCAAUUUUAAUGCAUUCCUUCUUCUUCUUUUUUUUAGUCAUUUACACUUCUAGUUUCUGGUUCCACAUAUAAGAGCUUGGAUGUUACCACUCCACCUUAAGAACAAGGAAGAAGCUGGAGAGACUGAAAAAUCGGUAACUCUUCUUGGAUCUCCAAGAGAGAGGAGAACCCAGGGCAAACCACCACCUCCAAGAUUGGAGAGACAGGCAAAUACAAAGAGCUGUAGUUUAGGAGAGUGGAGACUCACAAGCAGAAACCACUACGGGAAGCAGUGCCAGG
rnacentral:lncRNA from 1 species